AAUCAACGCUGGCGGCGUGCCUAACACAUGCAAGUCGCGCGCGAAAGGGGGGCAACUCCCAAGUAGAGCGGCGAACGGGUGAGUAACGCGUGGGUGAUCUGCCUCCGAGUGGGGAACAACAGCGGGAAACUGCUGCUAAUACCGCAUGACAUCAUCGGGUCACAUCGAUGAUCAAAGCCGGGGACCGCAAGGCCUGGCGCUUGGAGAGGAGCCCGCGUUCGAUUAGCUAGUUGGCGGGGUAAUGGCCCACCAAGGCGACGAUCGAUAGCCGGCCUGAGAGGGCGGACGGCCACACUGGGACUGAGACACGGCCCAGACUCCUACGGGAGGCAGCAGUGGGGGUAAUUUUUCGU
rnacentral:rRNA from 1 species